rnacentral:lncRNA from 1 species
AUGGCCGCGGCGGGAGGGAGGGGGCCGUGGGGCGGCCACGCCAGGUCAGGCUGUGGGGCAGGACGCCUCGGGAGGAGCAGGAUCCGCGGGACGCACAAACCCAGCACCGCGGACCAGCGGCCGAGGCCUCCCCAGCCCUCGAAGGAACCUGGGCCACCCAGGCCAGCACCCACAGUGGCCGGGACAGGCACGGAGCCCAGCUGCCCACUUGGGGUGCAUGGGCAAUGUGCUCAGGGACAAGGCGUUGGGGCAGCAAAUUCCCCGCCACGUGGAUUUCCCACCUCCUGCACGGCACCAAGCACAGUCCUGACCCGCGGGCACUGUGGUGGUGCCGGGGCUCUGGUUUCCAUCUCCCUGGGAGGGCAGCGAAGCGAGGCCCCAGCUCACGAUGCCUCCCUCCUGCCAGGGCAGGAAUUUGCUCUUUCUUCUACCCCGAGGCCCCGUUAUCCAUCACCCCAGCGUCUCCCCACGUGCCUGUGCACAGAGCCCUGCUGGUGGCUCAUCCCAGCACCACGGUCUCGAGGACUUUGUGCUGCGGCCCCAGCGGGUACUGGGGCAGCAGGACCCAGGCUCGGGGCCACGGGAUGGGCGUCACCCCACGGGGACAGGCCCCAGCUCACGGCCUCACCGCAGGAGGGAGCGGGGAGCCCGCGGCAUGGGGCCGUGGGGAAGGAGCGGGAGCCACGAGCUGUGCAGCCCCGGUUGUUUUUUCCUUGCUCUGCAGCUGAAGAGAGGAGAAAAGUAACGAAAACACAGCUCUGUAGAAGAGCCAGGCCUGGAGAGGCAGCUUCCGCCCCGAUCCCAAGCAAUUAUCAGCCGAAUGCCAGAUGUUCCGAUGCAAUGCCAAUGUCAGGGAAAAUAAAUCUUUGGCAGGUUCAAGGUCCCCGCUGGGCCGGCACACAGCGGCUCGCGGCUCAGCCCCGCGCGAGGCGGGGACGGAGCAGCGCGGGGCGGCCACACCGCUUCCUCCCGCCGGGCAUUGUUCCCCCGGGAAGCCCCGGCCUCAUGCCGGCCACUUGCUAUUUUUGA